CGACCGGGGUGACCCGGCUCGUGCAAGCAAAAGUCAGCAGAGGUCGUAGCACCGAUCUGUCGCAACCCAGCGGCAACGGGAAGGAC
rfam:Rhodopirellula maiorica SM1 cSM10086, whole genome shotgun sequence.